ACGCCCUUACUUUGUACAGGAUCUGUUCUAUACUUCUAUAGGCUCGUACCUCUGUAUCCUUGGUUUCUAUAAAGACAGAAACCCAUGUCUGGUUGAUAAAACAUAACCAUGUAGCCAGAGCGUGAUUAACCGAGCCUUAUGGUCUUGACCAUGGCUCAGUAGAGGAUCGUUGCCAGUCCACCUAAUGGGUCCUGGCAUGGUUACUUGGUUGUCUGACAGAUG